UUUCUUGUCUUCCUUGUCGUGCGAGUGGGCAAUCGCCGUCUAUCUCAGGCUUUUCUUCCAUAGGAUGAAACCGUUUUUGUUUAAGAAGAAGCUGAAAUGGAGGCGAAGAGAUCGGAGGACGAAGAAGGUGGGGGUGGUGCUCUGCGAUUACUGCGGCAGCACCAGGUAGAUCGAACAACUAAUGUUCCUCUUCUAUUUUCUAGGGUUAGCUAUUUACUACUGGGCAAUUAGGGAAUCUGAAUCUGGAAAUUGGCUAUAUAGAUUUGAAGACAAAGAAGGACAUGAUGAUUCACUGUCUAUGGAGAGCCAACUCAAGAGAUUACGGCUUUUGAACAGGAGAUGGACUGGUAUGGAUUUACAAGGUUUGAGUUCCCUGAGCUCAAAAAACUGAUAACCCAUCUACAGGAAGCCGUGCUCAUUGUGGAUGAGGAGAUAUCACAGCGCCCCGAACAGGCUGAAGUGAUGGCGGGAAAAAAUGCUCCUCUAUCUACGUUUACAAGCUCACAAGAUGAUCAAGUACCACCAGUGUUUGAUGAAGUACAAUCACUAUUGCGAAUGCAGAUAGAACACGAUAGCCAAAGAGCUGAAUCCCCUUCUGUGGAGCUGGAGAGACUAUUGCUGUGGAAGGAGAGAAUGAGUUGUAGAGGGCUGAGCGAUAUGACUUUCUCUGAGCUCUGCCUACUUGCAAGUCUAAUGAGGAAUGGAUUAAUGCGAAUCCGUGAUGAUUAUCUAAUUUGGGUUUGACUUUGUUGUCGUGUCGUCCUUUCGGACUCAAGUCUGUCUACUUACAAGUCAUAUGAUGAGAGGAUAGGAUUGAUGCGAAUGCGUUCUGACCUUGUGUCCUUCCAGAAAUCUUAUUAUAUAUUAGACUCUUUCUUUAAUCCUGAAGAUGACAUGUUCACA